UGUGGCUCAGUGGUAAAGCAUCUGUCUUGCAUGCAGAAGGUCCUCAAGUCAAUCUCUGACAUAUCAG